rnacentral:rRNA from 1 species
AACGUAGGAGGCGAGCGUUAUCCGGAGUUACUGGGCGUAAAGCGCGUGUAGGUGGCACGUUACGUCUGCUGUGAAAGCUCCCGGCUUAACCGGGAAGAUGCGGCAGAUACGGGCGAGCUGGAGGGUGACAGAGGAGCGUAGAAUUCCGGGUGUAGAGGUGAAAUGCGUAGAGAUCCGGAGGAAUACCAGUGGCGCAAGCGGCGCUCUGGGUCGCACCUGACACUGAGACGCGAAGGCAUGGGGAGCGAACGGG